rnacentral:rRNA from 1 species
GAUGAACGCUGGCGGCGUGCCUAAUACAUGCAAGUCGAGCGAACGGACGAGAAGCUUGCUUCUCUGAUGUUAGCGGCGGACGGGUGAGUAACACGUGGAUAACCUACCUAUAAGACUGGGAUAACUUCGGGAAACCGGAGCUAAUACCGGAUAAUAUUUUGAACCGCAUGGUUCAAAAGUGAAAGACGGUCUUGCUGUCACUUAUAGAUGGAUCCGCGCUGCAUUAGCUAGUUGGUAAGGUAACGGCUUACCAAGGCAACGAUGCAUAGCCGACCUGAGAGGGUGAUCGGCCACACAGGAACUGAGACACGGUCCAGACUCCUACGGGAGGCAGCAGUAGGGAAUCUUCCGCAAUGGGCGAAAGCCUGACGGAGCAACGCCGCGUGAGUGAUGAAGGUCUUCGGAUCGUAAAACUCUGUUAUUAGGGAAGAACAUAUGUGUAAGUAACUGUGCACAUCUUGACGGUACCUAAUCAGAAAGCCACGGCUAACUACGU